GCCAGUGUGGUGUAGUGGUUUGAGUGUUUGGCUGUGACUCUGGAUACCAGGGUUUGAAUCCCAGCUUGGCCA